UGGGGAAUAUUGGGCAAUGGGCGCAAGCCUGACCCAGCAACGCCGCGUGAAGGAAGAAGGCUUUCGGGUUGUAAACUUCUUUUCUGAGGGACGAUAGUGACGGUACCUCAGGAAUAAGCCACGGCUAACUACGUGCCAGCAGCCGCGGUAAUACGUAGGUGGCAAGCGUUAUCCGGAUUUACUGGGUGUAAAGGGCGUGUAGGCGGGACUGCAAGUCAGAUGUGAAAACCAGAGGCUCAACCUCUGGCCUGCAUUUGAAACUGUAGUUCUUGAGUGUUGGAGAGGCAGGCGGAAUUCCGUGUGUAGCGGUGAAAAUGCGUAGAUAUACGGAGGAACACCAGUGGCGAAGGCGGCCUGCUGGACAAUAACUGACGCUGAGGCGCGAAAAGCGUGGGGAGCAAACAGGAUUAGAUACCC
rnacentral:rRNA from 1 species